CGUAGGGGCGAGCGUUGUCCGGAAUCAUUGGGCGUAAAGAGCGUGUAGGCGGCCCGGUAAGUCCGCUGUGAAAACCCGGGGCUCAACCCCGGGCGUGCAGUGGAAACUGCCGGGCUAGAGGGCGGCAGAGGCGAGUGGAAUUCCCGGUGUAGCGGUGAAAUGCGCAGAUAUCGGGAGGAACACCGGUAGCGAAGGCGGCUCGCUGGGGCCGUUCCUGACGCUGAGACGCGAAAGCUAGGGGGAGCGAACAGGAUU
rnacentral:rRNA from 1 species